AAGUCGGGCCUGCCCACUGAGUAAUAGAGGAUUUCGGGUAUUUUGACAGUGCAAAGGAGAAAAACUCGAUCGUGUUUUGUGUGCGGGCUUGUAUGAAUGGUUUGACGAAGUAUUAACUGUCUCUUUAUAUUAUAUAGAAUUUAUUUUUUGAGUUAAAAAACUUAAAUGAAUAUAUGGGACGAGAAGACCCUAUAGAGCUUUAUACAAUUGUAAGAUAUAUUUGUUUAAAAAAGUUUUUUAUAUUUUAUGGUUGUUUAUGUUGGGGUGACAAAAGAUAAAAUUAACUCUUUAUUUAUUUAAACAUAAAUUUAUGAAUAGAUGAUCCAAUAUUAAUGAUUAUAAGAAAAAGUUACCUUAGGGAUAACAGCGUUUUCACUUGAGAGUUCUUAUCGAAAAAUAUGAUUGCGACCUCGAUGUUGGAUUAUGAGAAAGAGAAAAUGCAGAAGUUAUAUUAUUAUGUCUGUUCGACUUUAUAAUUCUUAC
rnacentral:rRNA from 1 species